AAUAGAUACCCUGGUAGUCCACGCCGUAAACGAUGAGUGCUAAGUGUUAGAGGGUUUCCGCCCUUUAGUGCUGCAGCUAACGCAUUAAGCACUCCGCCUGGGGAGUACGGCCGCAAGGCUGAAACUCAAAGGAAUUGACGGGGGCCCGCACAAGCGGUGGAGCAUGUGGUUUAAUUCGAAGCAACGCGAAGAACCUUACCAGGUCUUGACAUCCUCUGCCAACCCUAGAGAUAGGGCGUUCCCCUUCGGGGGACAGAGUGACAGGUGGUGCAUGGUUGUCGUCAGCUCGUGUCGUGAGAUGUUGGGUUAAGUCCCGCAACGAGCGCAACCCUUGAUCUUAGUUGCCAGCAUUUAGUUGGGCACUCUAAGGUGACUGCCGGUGACAAACCGGAGGAAGGUGGGGAUGACGUCAAAUCAUCAUGCCCCUUAUGACCUGGGCUACACACGUGCUACAAUGGAUGGUACAAAGAGCUGCAAACCCGCGAGGGUAAGCGAAUCUCAUAAAGCCAUUCUCAGUUCGGAUUGUAGG
rnacentral:rRNA from 1 species